rnacentral:piRNA from 1 species
UAGACUUCAAUUAUCUCGAUG